UACGGGGGGGGCAAGCGUUGUUCGGAAUUACUGGGCGUAAAGGGCUCGUAGGCGGCCAACUAAGUCAGACGUGAAAUCCCUCGGCUUAACCGGGGAACUGCGUCUGAUACUGGAUGGCUUGGAUUCGGGAGAGGAAUGCGGAAUUCCACGUGUAGCAGUGAAAUGCGUAGAGAUGUGGAGGAACACCGAUGGCGAAGGCAGCCUCCUGGGCCAGCACUGACGCUCAUGCACGAAAGCGUGGGGAGCAAACAGG
rnacentral:rRNA from 1 species